GCGCUCGUAGCUCAGCUGGAUAGAGCAUCAGACUUCGAAUCUGAGGGUCGGGAGUUCGAAUCUCUCCGAGCGCG
rnacentral:tRNA from 1 species